UACAGAGGUCCCGAGCGUUGUUCGGAUUCACUGGGCGUAAAGGGUGCGUAGGUGGUGAGGUAAGUCGGAUGUGAAAUCUCCGAGCUCAACUCGGAAAAGGCAUUGGAAACUACCUUGCUUGAGGAUUGGAGGGGGGACUGGAAUACUUGGUGUAGCAGUGAAAUGCGUAGAUAUCAAGUGGAACACCAGUGGCGAAGGCGAGUCCCUGGACAAAUCCUGACACUGAGGCACGAAAGCUAGGGGAGCAAACAGG
rnacentral:rRNA from 1 species